ACUAGGUGGGACCUGUUCUUAGGGUCUUGCAAACCUGGCGGGCAAAUUAGCUUUCCACUCACUGAACUUAGAGCCGCCGCAGUCCCGCUGUGCUUCGUCCAGCCCUGAGCCAGAAGGGGCUGCUCUUCCUACCUCCCGGGGGCUCGGCUUUCCCUUCUGUGCAGUGGGGACCUUGCACGAUGUUUAGGACCAGGAGGCUGGGACCGGAAGGCUGCAAGAACCUCGUUAAGAUGGAGGGGCAGGAGGCUCUGCUCUGGGAUUUUGGGGACCCCAGUGGCAGCGUGGUCUUACGGUCUGCCUGGGACUGCCUUGCUCCCAGGAUGACAGCUGGGGUGACUGGUUGUGCCCCACGUCCUAUUAGAUCUCACACAUUUUGCUCACAUCACCUCCCUGCCCCCAUCGCUCUCCUCCGUCCACCUCCUUGAUGCUCCUCAAACGCAGAGGCAGCCGAGGGUUGAGGAAGACGAGCGUGCCCUGGAAUCUUGACAGACCCAGAUUCCAUCCAGCCCUGCUGGUGCUUCGUGGGUCGCCCUUGCCUCUCUCCGCUCGCCCGGUUAAAAACAAUCCAGAACCCGGCCCAGCUGAUCAGUGUUCCUGAAAGCGUUGGCUGGUUUUGGCCAUUCAGCUUCAGACCUCUGUUGCAGAGAGUUUUCAAGAGCAGUGAGCGGUUGCCACCGAGGACCAGGGACGCCAGAGUCUUUGGGGCUCCAGCAUUGCUCAAAAUGAGGCCAGACCCGCUGAGUGAAUGAGCCCCUGAAUGAAUGAAGGAACCAAUGAAGGAGUGAAUGGGCCGCUCUGGGGCGGCUCCCUGCCGGUCAGCCUCCUUGUCUCCCCCCACGGAGUCCAGGCCGGGAAGUCUUGGCUCGCCCCUCUUGGAGGAAAACCCAGACGUUUGUUGGGCCUUCUGAUAACCCCCCACUCCCGCCCCAGCUCUCCGUGGUGUGUCUGCCACAAGGGCUGCUGGGAGGUUCCUGUGGGCUCCUGACCCGCGCGGAGGCUGGCAGGGUGUCUUCAGGUGGGUCCUCCCGGGGCCCGUGAAUAAAGAACUCGAAGAUGUGGGGAUCAUGCGGAGCCCAGUUGGGAUCCUGAAUCUGCCUCGGGUGAACCGUGUGCCCUCUGGCAAGGACUGCCGUCUGUUUUCCCGGUAAAACACAGGCAAGAAGUACACGAUCCCGAUGGAGGGAUGGAGGGGAGGGGGCUGGCGGGCUCAGGCCCUCCAGCUAGAGACUCUUGAUCACUUGAUGGUGAGUUCGAGCCCAACCCCCCCAUCUUGGGUUGGGGGAGAGAUUAAAUACAUCAAAACUU